AGAGGUACAUCCUGCCCGGUGACAUACGUGUUAAACGGCCGCGGUAACCUGACCGUGCUAAGGUAGCAUAAUCAUUUGCCUCUUAAUUGGUGGCUAGUAUGAAUGGACACAUGAGAGCUAUGCUGUCUCUUUCUCACACAUAAAAACUAACCUUCAGGCGAAAAGGCCUGAAUAACUUUAUAGGACAAGAAGACCCUGUCAAGCUUUACUAGUCAGACCUAUUCAUAAAUAUUUUAAUAAACUCACUAUGUCUCAUCUAGUUUAGUUGGGGCGACUGGGGACCAAAACUAGCGUCCCCCUCCAAUCUUAAGGAUAAUAAUCCUUUUAACUGAUCCUCAAAAAGACAAGAGACAAGCUACUGCAGGGAUAACAGGCUAAUUUUCCCUAAGAGCCCAAAUCGAAGGGAAAGUUUGGCACCUCGAUGUUGGCUUAAGACAUCCAUAAAGUGCAGCAGCUUUAUACGGUAGGUUUGUUCAA
rnacentral:rRNA from 1 species